ACCCCGUCCUCUCCUCGCAGGUGCCAUCCUACCGUAUGGCCAUGGCGUCCGCCCUUGCGCUCCUCCUCGCGCCCCGGCCCGUCUCCGCGAGGCCCGCCUCGCCUCAUCUCCACUCCCGCCGCUUCGCUCUUCCUCCUCCCCGACCCGCCACCCUCUCCGCCCAAGCCGCCACCCACCCGCGCAAGGCCGGGGCCGGGCGCCUCCAUCAGCUCCGUGCCGCCUCCUGCUGCAGCAAUUCCACUCCGGCCGCAGGAACCAGUGGAGGAAGCGCUACCGGCGCGAAGGAUUGGCGGUUCUUCUUGGCAUGGUAUUUGAUGUCUCUUGAUAAGAAUCCAAUUGCAACAAAGGCGGUCACUUCUGCUGUGCUGACUCUAGCCGGGGACCUCAUCUGCCAGCUUGUGAUUGAUCGAGUUCCAGAGCUUGAUUUAAGGAGAACAUUUGUGUUCACAUUUUUGGGGCUUGCCCUUGUGGGGCCAACUUUACAUAUCUGGUACCUUUAUUUGAGUAAAUUAGUGACAAUCAGCGGAGCAUCAGGUGCCAUUGCUCGCCUUAUACUUGAUCAGUUCAUUUUCUCUCCCAUUUUCAUCGGCAUUUUUAUGAGCUUACUGGUCACCUUGGAGGGAAAGCCCUCUCUUGUAGUGCCAAAGCUUAAGCAGGAGUGGUUAUCGUCAGUGUUGGCAAAUUGGCAAUUAUGGAUACCGUUUCAGUUUCUAAAUUUUUACUUUGUUCCUCAGAAGUUUCAGGUGCUUGCUGCUAAUUUUGUAGCCCUUGCAUGGAAUGUGAUUUUGUCAUUUAAGGCUCAUAAGGAGGUUAUUGCGAAAUAGAUUUCAUGUCGAUUUUACCGUGAUGAUUAAAUGUCUCUCUAUCGUGGACUCCAAUAAAACGUGUUUUAAUAGUAGGUUUCACUGUGAGUGUAGCAGCCCACCAGAGCAAUUGUUUCUUGCGGGAGUGAGUGGUGAUGUAAAUUAUCGUGCAGGGGUGCGUGGUUCUGAUCAAAGUUGAAAGCGGCUGUAUCAUGGUGAUGUAUAAUAUGCUGGAGAAUCAUGGAGUUGUAGGUUUUCCGGUGUGCAUGAUGUUGAUCUAUCAUACCUCUUGUUUUUAGCAUGAACAUGUGCGUUAUUCUGCUAUGAUGGACCAAUGAAUGGGCAGUGUUGCCUACUUUAAGACAUGUCUAUGCCUGUCGUUCAAAGGAGAGACAGAUUGUUGGGCA